rnacentral:lncRNA from 1 species
AUUUUUCUUCUGGGAUGAAUACCUAUUGCCCGGUUGUAAAAUUAUCGCAAUUUUAUGUUAAAAAUACCCUAAAGGAUUGAUUGUAAACAUCGUUUGGCGUGUUUCUACAAACGGUAAUGGAACUUUGAACAUUUCGUCUAUGGAUUUGCGUCCACGCCACAUGGCAUUGUAAAGUGUUAUGGACGGAUCAACAAAACGGACGUAUUUGGACAUAAAUUAUGGAUUUUGCAGAACAAAUUAACAUUUCUUGUGGAAGUGGGUGCCCUUCCGAGUGCAUUCUGCCGAAGAUCAGCAAAGGAGGAUCCGAUGGUGACACGGGUCUCAGCAGGGUCAGACAGCCAGGGAAGACCAGUUUGUGACAGAGGUGAGGUGAAUUAUUGUAGAUAUAACAUGUUAUUAUCUCUGUCCAGCAAACACUGAACAAGCCAGAUGCAGUCUGACAAACCUCCAAAGUUGAUUUACAAACUCUAUCAAGGGUUGAUAGAGGCUUUUCCUGA